GACGGAGUCUCGCUCUGUCGCCCAGACUGGAGUGCAGUGGCGCAAUCUCGGCUCACUGCAAGCUCUGUCUUCCGGGUUCAUGCCAUUCUCCUGCCUCAGCCUCCUGAGUAGCUGGGACUACAGGCGCCCGCCAUUACGCCCGGCUAAUUUUAUUUUAUUUUAUUUUUAGUAGAGACAGGGUUUCACUGUGUUAGCCAGGAUGGUCUGUGUCUCCUGACCUCGUGAUCCACCCGCCUCGGCCUCCCAAAGUGCUGGGAUUACAAAAUGCGUGAGCCACCACGCCCGGCUGAUGGUUUUAUUAAUAUAAGGGACUUUAACCCUUUGCUCAGGACUUCUACUUGCUGCUGCCAUGUGAAGAAGGACAUAUUUGCUUCCCCUUUCACCAUGAUUAAAAGCAAUUUUGUUAAUCACUUUAGCACCAAUUCUUGCAUCCCUGGCAAUACUCAGAACUGCUUCCAUCCAAGUCUUUGAUGUGGGAAAGAAACACACACACACUCUUUCGCAUGUAAUCUGAAAACAAUUCACCUCUUGCCAAUGAAUGCACAGCACUCCACUUUAAUAGAGAGCAAGUUCUGUGGAGGUUUCUAAUCCUUUCUGCCAAAGAAGAGAAGAGAGAGAAUCACUCAGGAUCCCAUCCAGAAUACAUUACCUUUAGUCAUCAUGUCUCCUGUGGCUCUUCUUGGCUGUGACAGUUUCUCAGCUUUCCCAGUUUUAAUGAACUUGCCAUUUUCAUCAGAUUGUACCAAGACCUACUAUCAAUAUGACUUAUGACUAGUGGUGCUGACCUUGAUCACCUGGCUGAGGUAGUUCUUGUCAGGCUUCUCCACUGUCGAGUUGCUCUCCCCAUCCCCCUUUUCCAUAUUGUACUCUUUGAAAGAAAGUCACUAUAUGCAGCCCUUCCUUAAAAAUAUUAAAAUGAACUAGCUUAAUUAAGUUCUUUCUUACA
rnacentral:lncRNA from 1 species